rnacentral:lncRNA from 1 species
UGAUAUUUACCUUAGAAGAAAUUACAAUCCUCAAUCACAAGAAGCAUAACCAAUUUUAACGUGACAUUCGUUCAAAAUUGCAUCCAAUGACUUUUCUAAGCAUCCUAAUGGUGAUCAAUAAUCAAGACACAUAGAUAAUUUAAUUUAGAGAUUGAAAAUAUCAAAGCAAGCAUGUAACAACACUUAAGCAAUUGAAAGAGAAAUCUACGUAAUCAUGUUGCGGCUCAUGGCCUCAUUCUAGCGAAAGGAAAUUAGUUACACAUACUUGUAUUAAUACAUAAGAAAUUAUCCAUGAAAAAACAAAGAAAGAAGACACCCUUUUUUACAAGACGAGCUCUCUGUUCCUUUGCUCUCCUCUGCUCCUGACUUCCUCCCCUCUGCCUUUCAAUUGCUCUUCACUUCUUUCCUCUGCCUUUCCUCCGUUUUCCCCUCGUUAUUGCCUUCAACAAAAGGCCAUCAUUGCCAAAACCAACCAAAGCUACAACUGGAAGACCAACCAAACUCCACUUCAUAGUGGGUACCCCAUGAUCUCCUAUUUUCUACCAUAUUUUCUUUCCCACUUCCGUGUGUGCUCCUCCUCUUUUGCUCUCUCUUUUCCUACUUUUCUGCUGCUCCAUUCACUCUCUGUCGUGUCCUCUCUGUCUUCCCCACCUCCACUUCCGUGUGUUUU